rnacentral:rRNA from 1 species
GAUGAACGCUGGCGGCGUGCCUAACACAUGCAAGUCGAACGGAAUUUGAGAGCUUGCUCUUAAAUUUAGUGGCGCACGGGUGAGUAACGCGUAGAUAAUCUGCCCGACGAUCUGGGAUAACAGUUCGAAAGGACUGCUAAUACCGGAUAAGCCCACGUGGUCUUUGGACCGUGCGGGAAAAGGGGGGGACCUUCGGGCCUUCUGUCGUCGGAUGAGUCUGCGUACCAUUAGCUAGUUGGUAGGGUAAUGUCCUACCAAGGCUACGAUGGUUAGCUGGUCUGAGAGGGUGAUCAGGCACACUGGAACUGAGACACGGGCCAGACUCCUACGGGAGGCAGCAGUGGGGAAUUUUGCGCAAUGGGCGAAAGCCUGACGCAGCAACGCCGCGUGAGUGAUGAAGGCUUUCGGGUCGUAAAGCUCUGUCAGGGGGAAAGAAGUGUAUUGUGGCUAAUAUCCGCGAUACUUGACGGUACCCCCAAAGGAAGCACCGGCUAACUCCGUGCCAGCCGCCGCCGUAAUAC